AGGACAUUUGGCAGAGCUCUGCUGAGCUUUGUGCUGGUGUGUUACUGGAUCUCCUGGGGCUCCAAAUGGAAGCCAGAGCAGCAGCUGCAGGGUAGGGAAACAGAGGAAUGAAUCUCAUCCCACUGGCAACUGCUUCCCAGGAGAAUCUGCUGUAACAACAGCACAGGGCUGGCCAUGGAGAAGGCUGUGAGGCCUACAGCACAGCGACAGCAGUGUGGCCACAGCACAGGAAAGGAAGUCCUCUUAUCAACAUUCUAUGUGAUACAUGAGGAUUGAGCUGAACAGAGAAGAGCCUUCUGCACCAACAAGAGACCAAAAUCGGAGUUUGGAUGCAAAACCUUUCAUGUCAAAGUUUCCAAGCCUAAGCACAAAGACAAUGCUCUUCAUCCAUCUCAACAAAUUUUCAUAAGGACUUGAUUGCCUUGUAACCAGCUUAGACUGAGAGAAGUAAAAAUCCUCUUGGGGAAUCAAGUCAUAUUAAAUCACAAUAUCCAGGGCCUGACAACAUUUACUAGCACCUCAUCAUAAAGAAAACAGGUGUUUGUACACAGCAGCAGGUGCUACAAAAAUUUGCAACAAAAAACCAGUGCUGAGCGGGCUAACAAAAAAUCUGCAUCAAAGAUUGGAAGAUGGAGAAGACCAGAAUAAAGUCAGCAAAAAUUUCUGGAUUUGUGCACAAAUUAAAAUACCACAGCCUAUGUUAAAUGUGAGGGUCUCCUUUGUCUACCAAUGGCCACGGCAGAAGUGUGCCACAAGUGUGUGGAUGAGGGUGGCUCUCAGAAAUCUGCUCGCCCUGGGGACAUCUGGACAUCCUGCUCUGGCUCUGGGAGAACCAGUUCCACUGCCAGCCACGGCUACCCAUGACCACUGUGAGCAAUGCUGUUUCCCCCACUCCUGCUUGUGGCCCCCCAGUUGUUCCUGUGGCUGAUGGGACUCCUCAAACCUGCACUUGUGUUUCCCAUGUCUCCACUGCUUGCUCUGUAUCACAGCUUCUCAUCUUUAAUACUGUCCCCUCUCAGACCAGCUCGUCAUCUAGGACAAACCUCCAUGAGAUGCAACUAUAGCAAACCCAUUUUUUUCUGCAGUCUGAUGCAGCUUGACAGGGCACAGCUGAGCUUUCAUGGGGGCAAUUUGCAGUUUUAUCCACAAGAAAUAUGUGGGGAUGAUCUUACAUGACUGAACUGCUAUUUGCACUGGCAGACUGGAGUUUCUAACUCAUUUCUGUUGCAAUGGA